rnacentral:rRNA from 1 species
UACGUAGGGUGCGAGCGUUGUCCGGAAUUAUUGGGCGUAAAGGGCUCGUAGGCGGUCUGUCGCGUCGGGGGUGAAAACUCAGGGCUUAACCCUGAGCCUGCUUCCGAUACGGGCAGACUAGAGGUAUGCAGGGGAGAACGGAAUUCCUGGUGUAGCGGUGGAAUGCGCAGAUAUCAGGAGGAACACCGGUGGCGAAGGCGGUGCUCUGGGCAUUACCUGACGCUGAGGAGCGAAAGUGUGGGGAGCGAACAGG